AAACCCUUUGAUUUUGGGGGUUAAAACACGCACGUUAUUUUUUAAUACAUGCUAGUAAAAUGCGCACAGGUGAGUAAGUAUGUGAUUUAACACAAAAUGUUACCAGGUAAACUUAUUAUAAUACUAUAAGCAUCCGAAGACAACUAGGAAUACCCACAUUUUGACUGAAACAAAGAAAAACAAAUGCAGCAGUAUAGAAUAUUGUACAAUUAACUAAAGUUAGAUACAGAAAAUAACAGUAGAAUUGUCUCAUCAGGUGCCAGCAGACGCGGUUACACCUGAGAUUCAAGUUUUUUUAAUAAAAAAGGCUUAAAGAAUGUCAACAUUCAAAUAAAAAUUAAAAGUAGAAAUUUUAUGUAAAGAUAAAAUAUACUAAUAUAAAAUAGAAUUUUAUUAAUAAAUUAGCUUUUAAUUAUAAUUCAAAACAUGAAACAAUAGAAAGUAAAUAGGAUUAGAUACCCUAGUAGCCUAUUGCUUAAAUAAAGAAAGCCUUUUUAAAAGGCUCAUCCGCCUGAGUAUUAUAAUCAACUGAUUGAAAUUCAAAAAAUCUGGCUGUUCGUUUUCCUAUUAGAGGAUUGUGUAACUUAAAUCGAUAAUCCGCGAAUUACCUUACCCUGAAUAGAAACUCAGGUACUGCAUGGCCGUCUUCAGUUUGUAUAUAAUAUUAACAAACUUAACUUUAUAAAAAACUAAGUCAGGUAUUAUGGUCCUCAUAUCAGGGAGUCUAUGCAAUACAUUAAUUUAAUCAAAACAAUACAAAUUGCGAAUAGAGACUAAAAAAUCUCUAAGAAGUUGAAUUUAAUAGUAAUCAUAAAAAGAGAAUUAUGAUGAAUUGGUUCAAACGUUAGCACAAAUCGCCCGUCACCUUUAGUAAUUAUUAAUAUUAUCAAUGUAAUUAAUUAAAUAUCGAAAACUAAAGCAAGUCGUAACAUAGUGAGGGGAAGGGAACUUCUCCUUGAAGAUUU
rnacentral:rRNA from 1 species